rnacentral:rRNA from 1 species
AUUGAACGCUGGCGGCAGGCCUAACACAUGCAAGUCGAGCGGAUGAAGGGAGCUUGCUCCUGGAUUCAGCGGCGGACGGGUGAGUAAUGCCUAGGAAUCUGCCUGGUAGUGGGGGAUAACGUCCGGAAACGGGCGCUAAUACCGCAUACGUCCUGAGGGAGAAAGUGGGGGAUCUUCGGACCUCACGCUAUCAGAUGAGCCUAGGUCGGAUUAGCUAGUUGGUGGGGUAAAGGCCUACCAAGGCGACGAUCCGUAACUGGUCUGAGAGGAUGAUCAGUCACACUGGAACUGAGACACGGUCCAGACUCCUACGGGAGGCAGCAGUGGGGAAUAUUGGACAAUGGGCGAAAGCCUGAUCCAGCCAUGCCGCGUGUGUGAAGAAGGCAUUCGGAUUGUAAAGCACUUUAAGUUGGGAGGAAGGGCAGUAAGUUAAUACCUUGCUGUUUUGACGUUACCAACAGAAUAAGCACCGGCUAACUUCGUG